rnacentral:rRNA from 1 species
AUUUCCGGGGCUAAAACUUACUACCGAAGCUACGGCAUCAGUAAUGAUGGGUAGGGGAGCUUCCCAUACGGGUUGAAGCAGGACCGUAAGGACAUGUGGACAGUAUGGGAGUGAGAAUGUUGGCAUGAGUAGCGAGAUGUGGGUGAGAAUCCCACAGGCCGUAAACCCAAGGUUUCCAGGGGAAGGUUCGUCCGCCCUGGGUUAGUCG